rnacentral:rRNA from 1 species
GACGAACGCUGGCGGCGUGCUUAACACAUGCAAGUCGAACGGAAAGGCCCUGCUUUUGUUGGGUGCUCGAGUGGCGAACGGGUGAGUAACACGUGAGUAACCUGCCCUUGACUUUGGGAUAACUUCAGGAAACUGGGGCUAAUACCGGAUAGGAGCUCCUGCUGCAUGGUGGGGGUUGGAAAGUUUCGGCGGUUGGGGAUGGACUCGCGGCUUAUCAGCUUGUUGGUGGGGUAGUGGCCUACCAAGGCUUUGACGGGUAGCCGGCCUGAGAGGGUGACCGGCCACAUUGGGACUGAGAUACGGCCCAGACUCCUACGGGAGGCAGCAGUGGGGAAUAUUGCACAAUGGGCGGAAGCCUGAUGCAGCAACGCCGUGUGCGGGAUGACGGCCUUCGGGUUGUAAACCGCUUUCGCCUGUGACGAAGCGUGAGUGACGGUAAUGGGUAAAGAAGCACCGGCUAACUACGUG